GGCGUCACCUCAGCUCCCCCCGGCGGCGGAGCCGGCGGGCUCAGGCGGGCGCGGCUGAGGGGAGCGGACCGCGGGGGGCGGGAGAUGACUGCGCCCAAGGCCUUUGCGGGCCUCAGCCGGCCCCAGAGGAAGGGGAACCCGUCGAGCGGUUUGGGAGGUUCAGGAAGCCAUUCGUUCUUUCGCGUCUGCGGUGCCCGGAGUGUGGUACUUCUCCUAGUUGCAGUCAGGCUUCAUACGCUAUUGUCCUGCCCGUUAGAGCAGCCAGCGGGUACAGAAUGGAUUUUGGAAGAGGGAGUCACCACUGGACCUCCAAGGAAGCCACGUGCAGACAUCUACAACCUUCGAUCUCCUGACGAGUUUAUUGUUGGCCAAAACCAGGCUUUGAUUGAACCAGGAUGAAUGCGGGUGUUGGAAGUAGAAUAUAUAUAUACAUAUAAAAUUGGUUGGGAGCCACGUGUACCAGUGUGUGUUGAUCUUGGCUUGAUUCAGUCUGCCUUGUAACAGAAACUGGCGAUGGAAUAUGAGAGGAGCCCUCUGGAAAGAAAAGGACAGACCCUGUGCUUUCAUGAAAGUGAAGAUCUGGCUGAACCAGUUCCACAAGGUUACUGUAUACAUAGCCUGAGUUUAAAAGGCUGUGCCCACUUCAAGAAUGUCAUUGUUAGACUUUGAAAUUUCUAACUGCCUACCUGCAUAAAGAAAAUAAAAUCUUUUAAAUCAAA
rnacentral:lncRNA from 1 species